GCCAAUCAGGAGAUACUUAGCAAGUACCCAUUUACACAAUUGAGGAAGAUAACCAAAAUGGAAGAACUGUUAAAGAUCUGUUAAAAUCAAACAGAUUUGGGUUCCAAUUCUGCUUCACUACUUAGUACUGGGAUGCUGGAUCAAGUUAAUCUCUGAUUUUUAGUUUCCAUAUUUUUGAAUGCUAAGGAGUAAAGAAUGAUUUAUCUUUGGUAACAGUAUUAAAAUAGUUUUUCUUUUAGCUCACUUAUAUUUUGAUUUCUACAAUAAAUAUGUGUUAUAUCUGAUGAAGGAGGAAGGUACUUUUUAAAUGUACAUAAUAUAUUCCUUAUAAACUUUAACCUUUAAAAGAAUUCAUGGAUGUAAAGUACUUAACAUAUGCAUGAAGAAGUUAGGUUAUUUACCCAAUCAUUACCACAAAAUAGCCACUGUGAACACAAAUACAGGAGAGCAAAGGAUAAAAUAGUAUAAAAACUCUCAAUAAUUCAUGUACUUACUAGUACUACUUAUUUACAGAAUAAGUAUUAUAUUAAAACAGUAAUGUUUCAUCAAAUUAUUUUCAAAUAAGUUCAAGAAUAUUAACAUUAAUUAUUCUGGUCCAGAAUUUGAGCCUAUUUGUAACUAAGUAACAUUUAUUUCCUUUCUGUCACUUCCAUUUUAAGAGUAAACAAAUCCCAAAAGAUAACCUUAGGAUGUGCUUCAGAUCCACCACUUUCUUCCCACCCUCAACCACCACCAUUCUCAGUUCAGGCUCCUACGGAUGAACACCUAAGCAAUUUCCCAACUGACAUCCCUGCCUUUGUCUCUCUUUAAUCCCAUCUACCCACAGAUUGAUGAUUAACUACUAUACUAAGAGCACUUUCAUCAUUACAUUCCACUGUUCAAGACUGAUAAAAGUUUCCUGAUGCAUGGAACACAAAACCCAUUUUUUAAUCCUGACAUUCCAAGCUCUCCACAUUCAGGUACCAAGCUAAAUUUUUGUUCUUUUCUUUUAAAUUGGAGAAAAAAAAAAAAAAAAAAAAAGCACAAAGCUUACCAGAAAGGUAUAA